rnacentral:rRNA from 1 species
AACGAACGCUGGCGGCAUGCCUAACACAUGCAAGUCGAACGAGACCUUCGGGUCUAGUGGCGCACGGGUGCGUAACGCGUGGGAAUCUACCCUUGGGUUCGGAAUAACUCAGAGAAAUUUGAGCUAAUACCGGAUGAUGUCGCAAGACCAAAGAUUUAUCGCCCAAGGAUGAGCCCGCGUAGGAUUAGCUUGUUGGUGAGGUAAAAGCUCACCAAGGCGACGAUCCUUAGCUGGUCUGAGAGGAUGAUCAGCCACACUGGGACUGAGACACGGCCCAGACUCCUACGGGAGGCAGCAGUGGGGAAUAUUGGACAAUGGGCGAAAGCCUGAUCCAGCAAUGCCGCGUGAGUGAUGAAGGCCUUAGGGUUGUAAAGCUCUUUUACCCGGGAUGAUAAUGACAGUACCGGGAGAAUAAGCCCCGGCUAACUUCGUGCCAGCAGCCGCGGUAAU